rnacentral:rRNA from 1 species
CAGUCGCCGCGGUAACACGUAGGGUGCAAGCGUUAAUCGGAAUUACUGGGCGUAAAGCGUGCGCAGGCGGUUAUAUAAGACAGAUGUGAAAUCCCAGGGCUCAACCUGGGAACUGCAUUUGUGACUGUAUAGCUAGAGUACGGCAGAGGGGGAUGGAAUUCCGCGUGUAGCAGUGAAAUGCGUAGAUAUGCGGAGGAACACCGAUGGCGAAGGCAAUCCCCUGGGCCUGUACUGACGCUCAUGCACGAAAGCGUGGGGAGCAAACAGGAUUAGAUACCCGUGUAGUCCCUGUCUCUUAUAC